GGCGGGAUGGCUGAGUGUCCAAGCGGCGGAUUGUAGUCCCGUGAACAGUGGUUUAAUUCCCCUUCCCGCCA
rnacentral:tRNA from 1 species